rnacentral:rRNA from 1 species
AUUGAACGCUGGCGGCAUGCUUUACACAUGCAAGUCGAACGGUAACAGGCCGCAAGGUGCUGACGAGUGGCGAACGGGUGAGUAAUGCAUCGGAACGUGCCCAGUCGUGGGGGAUAACGCAGCGAAAGCUGUGCUAAUACCGCAUACGAUCUAUGGAUGAAAGCGGGGGACCGUAAGGCCUCGUCCGAUUGGAACGGCGGAUGUCAGAUUAGCUAGUUGGUGAGGUAAAGGCCCACCAAGGCGACGAUCUGUAGCUGGUCUGAGAGGACGACCAGCCACACUGGGACUGAGACACGGCCCAGACUCCUACGGGAGGCAGCAGUGGGGAAUUUUGGACAAUGGGCGCAAGCCUGAUCCAGCAAUGCCGCGUGCAGGAAGAAGGCCUUCGGGUUGUAAACUGCUUUUGUACGGAACGAAACGGUCUGGGUUAAUACCCUGGGCUGAUGACGGUACCGUAAGAAUAAGCACCGGCUAACUACGUGCCAGCAGCCGCCGUAA